GAUAACGAACGAGACCCCGGCCUACUUACUAGACCACGGAUCCUUUUGUCCGUGCCGUCUUCUUAGAGGGACAACUGGCUACACGAAAUAGCUACAUGAAAUGGGG
rnacentral:rRNA from 1 species